rnacentral:lncRNA from 1 species
ACGUACUCUGGACUCAAGCUUCUGAAGCUGCUUCUUGCCACCUUUCAGUGCUAGCUGCUCAGCUUCAUCCAGACGAUGCUGCAGAUCCUUCACGGAUUGCUCAAGAUUCUUCUUCAUUCUCUCCAAGUGAGAGCUGGUGUCCUGCUCCUUCUUCAGUUCCUCUGCCAUAAGAGCAGCCUUCGUAAUAAAAAAAAAAAAUCCAAAAAGACUGUAAAUAAUAGAGCAAAAAAGCAAACCCAAGAUCUGCUCAUAAAGUGAAAACUUGGGAAAAACAUACAUCAGUGAUGGCCUUUUUGGCUUUCUCCUCAGCAUUUCUUGAUUCUUGGACAGCUUCCUCAGCUUCGCUCUGGAGUUGAGCAAUGUCAGACUCAAGCUUCUUCUUGGUGCCGAUGAGGUUGGUGUUCUGAAGUGGAGAAGAAUAUAGUGUUUUAAUUAUUCCAUCUAAUUAGGCAUAUUCUGUCAAUGCACAUUUAAUUUGUUUCCAUCGUAUUUAUUUUACCUGUGAGUGCAGAAGCUGGACACGUUCACUUGCAUCCAGGAGCUCUUGUUCUGCAGCCUUACGAGAUCUCUCUGUCUGCUCCAGAGCAGACCUGUUCUCUUCAAGUUCAGCCUGCAGCAGGUUGGUUCUACGUUCAAUCACAGCCACCUGUUCCUUCAGAUCUUCCUGUCCUCUUAUUGCAUCAUCCAGGUGAAGCUGGGCAUCCU